rnacentral:sRNA from 1 species
GGCUAGAAUAUCUCCAUCCUAAAGAGAAAUUAUGAGAAAAUCAGGGCAACGCGGGUACACAGGCUCAAGGCAGACCCUAUAAGGGUUCUACGAGUCCACUCUGCAUAUCCUGAGAUCUGAAGCCACAAGGUGGGCAGGGGAGAACAAAGAGGCAAGGACAGUCCCACCGACCUACAGAACAGUUGAGUUCAGAAGGCUGCUACAUACAGUACGUAUACCUAUGAGGAGCAUCUCAGCGAUGGUGAACUGGAGCUUUAUGCCAGAACCACUCAUUACAACAGGCUAAAAGAUGAUGGCUGGGAGUGGGGACGUAGCCUAACAGAGCAAAUGUCUGGCAUACAUAAGGUCAUUGGUCUGAUCCUAGCACCCCAAGAGAGAAACAAAAAAGAGUAGGAUUGUCCAGAGUGGUCACACAUAGUCUGUCAACAAGCAGUGACAGCCGCCACUGUGCGACGGUGGACUAGUGCAAAGUUAUAUGACAUUUGUCUGUGAGUCGGGGAGAGGGCACAUUGCAGCACCACUCAGAAGUUGGCUCUCUUCCUCCUCCAUGUGGGUGCUGGGAGUUGAACUCAGCUUGUCUGGUUUUUACUGCCGAACCAUCUUGCCAGACUAGGUGCAAAGCUUUAAAGGUUUAUAAAGAAAAAUAUGCUGUCCCUGGUGCCCAUGCUGGGUAGAGCAGCACAAUGAGAUACACUACAGCAUGGUGCUCCAGGAAUCUCUCGUUCUGGACAAAAAAUGUCUCCUGAGAGUCAUGACUCUGCCCAUGAGUUUCUCGUGUUAUUCCCACCUCUUAAGAAUAUGAAAAACAGCAUUAUAAGGCUUUCCCUUCCAAGAAAGGACACGGGCACCUGGCUUCUCUGCUUACCAUUUAUCAAGUAGCUCCUGUGUGUUAGGCAUGGGCUGGGCCAGGACCUGCUCCCCGCCUAGAACUCUAUACUACAGUGAACCUGGACAGAGCAAGUGUUGGGAGGGGGUAAAUUUACUUCUCUAGUUAACAGAAGCCCUGGCUAAUGAUGGAAGCCAAAACAGAGAGACGGGGAAGGGCCCCCCCAAGUCUGUGGAAAGGGUAAACACAGCCAAGAGACCCUCAGGCAGUGUGCAUGGUGAGGCAGGCAACCACUAGAAAAAGCCUCAGGGAGGGAUCAUGAGGAAACAAGGUGUGGGCAAGCGAGACAGCAUCCAAUACAGGAAGAGUCAAAGGAUACUGGCCUGUGUGUACGCGCACUCUGUCUUAGCAAUGAACACUGUGAGGCAGUGGCUCAGGAACAGGCUGGGCUAGACCAAAAACCCCAAGAACCAACUUCCUCCCAACCAAACAGUGUGCCAAGACAAA